CUAGCCUCAACUUCCCUAUUUUUAUCUACAACACACACAUCUUAUCUCCAUUUUCCACCACACAUAACACAUACUUGAGUUUGGGCCAUUUUCACCAUCAAUUUCCCCUGCCAUGACCUCGUUCAGCUGAUUUGGACCGCUGGUCUUGACGGGAUGACUGCGAGUUUGCUGAAUGACCUUGGUCGGUAACGACGGUGUCCCGACAGCUUGUGCAGCGUUCCUUUCUUGAUUUAUCUUCCUUGUUUCAUCCGUGCAUAAAUGAGACCUGGUGUCGUAAAUAUCUAGGGGAUGUUUAGUUUGCUGAAUAAACAUAGCUAUACCUUCUUAUUGCUUAGUUAGACUCGUGAGAAGUUGAAGAACUGUGCAAAUUCAUAUUUUUGACCUAUAAGAAGGUAUAUCUAAAUAUAAAAGAUUACAAAUUCCUAUUUUAUGUAUAUGGUGACUUUGGUGUUCCAACCAUCCUGUUCAUAUCAACUCACGUUUAGAAGCUUUAGCAAACCGUGAGUAUACUUGACCCUUUUUCGCUUUAAUGCACUUUUGGGUGUAACAUGUAUAAUCUAUCAAA
rnacentral:lncRNA from 1 species